rnacentral:lncRNA from 1 species
ACGUGUCAAAAUUGUUUUGUGUGUCCAGCGGGCUGUCCAGUGUCUACACUCUUCUUUUUCUUCUCUUUAGUUUUUAGUAAUUUUUAAAGUAUCCUUUCAGAACUGAGCAGUUUCGGGUCUAAAUGGAGCUCACGUUGCAGUGCAUUUGGAAAGAACUACAAAAAGUACGAAAGAGAAAAAGAAGGAGGAGUACCACACAGAGUACUAUUCUACAGCUGCUUUCUCAAGAAAUUCUAUAGAAUGAAAGUAACCUAAUAAUUAUAGUGGUAGCUGAAGGAGUAUAUGAUUUCAGUUGGUGAUAAGAGUUUAUUCUGAAAUUUUUUAUUAAAAAAAAUUUUUUUUCCGAGAGCUUCGGAAUGUCUUCUGAUUAUAAUUUUUAUUUUUGGAAUUUUUUCUGAUUUUUUCAAGAGCGUGGGAAUAUUUUUCUCUGAAAUUGAUAAUCCAAUAGCACAAGCACUCUACCUUGAGUGAGUAGAUGCAUCUACAUGUAUAUUUACUUUAGGAUGUGUGUGAAACUGACCCACACUAUGUUAGAAGAUUCGAGAGUGGAUGUUGUGUUGUCAAUGAAGAAGUGGGAUAAAUUUAUCAGAAGGCAAUUAACUUGACAACAAUAAGAUACAGCAUUAGCAAUGCUGGAAUACUUGAACCCCCUCUCUCUCUCUUUGUGUGUUUAUACAAAAUAAUAGUCUAAUUCUGAUAAUUAUAGAAAUAAUUUUGAAGUUUUUAUCUGGACAGCAAAUGCAAUCAGAUAGUGAGCUGUGAGCUGAACACUUUAUUUAUUUAUCUAUUUUGAGAUGCCAGCAGUGGCACUGGACCUAUAAUAUGUACUGGACAAAAGGACAGUUGUCUGAGCAACAAAAGCCUAAGAAAACUAUAGUUAGUGCGUCUGUUUAAGUUUUACUUUCCUAACCCAAACUGCACAGGAGAAAUGGUUGCAAAGAUGCAAUUAGGUAACUAGAACAAGAGUUGUGCUAUGUCAUGAAAAGUGGCUGGGUGCAUCAUUGAACCUUAUGGCUAUAAAGAAAACUACCCAUACAAAGCAUCUUGUGCAGGUUGAUGUAAGAGGAGUACCAGCAAUACAGUUAAUUUUGUAUCAAAACGUCAGCCAUUAGCUGUUGUCUUUGAUAUGCAGAAACAUCUUAUAUUAAAAUGGAAGAGAGAGUAUAGACCCAGUUUAUUAUCUAGUACUGAUUUGCUUAGUGAUUUAUGUAUAGUUGGAUGUUGGAAAAUAAUUUUUUCUUUAUU